ACGAAUCUUUGCUGUUCAACAUUAGAGCUGUAAUGUUUCAUAAUGCAUAAACUAAGAAAUGCUUAUGUUUUCUGUUGAAACUGAAAUUCCACCGGGGAAUGUGAAAUCCCAAAGGCAGCUGAACAGGUCUGUGCAACGAGCCACCUUCUUGGCUGCAGGGAUCUCUGCCAUGACCCGCUGUAACAACCUGGGGAAACAAAAAGCAUUUCAGACAUUUUGUGGGGAAAUAAUCGUGUUUUGUAAGCAUCAUGGUAAACAGACAACGGGCAGAAACCACUUCCAAAGGUUGUCUCUUCUGCUCCACCACUGAGAGCACCCUCAGCAAGUUUGCUGAUGACACCAAGGUGAGUGGUGCAGCUGACAUGAUAGAAAGAAGGGAUGCCAUCCAGAGGGGCCUUGGACAGGCUUGGGAAGUGAGCACAUGAGAACCUAACGAGGUUCAAUGAAGGCAAAGUGCAAGGUGUUGCACUUGGGUUGGAGCAAUCUCAGAUUCUGUACAGAAUGGAAGAAGAACUCCUUGAGAGCAUCACUGCAGAGAAGGACUUGGGGGUCCUGGAGGAUGAAAAGCAUGAGCCAGCAGCGAGUGCUUGCAGCCCAGAAGGUCAACUGCAGAAGGGUGGCCAGCAGGGCAAGGGAGGUGAUUACUCCCCUCAACUCUGUCCAUGUGAGGCCCCACGUGGAGUAUUGUAUCCAGGCCUGGGACCUCCAACUUCAGAAGGACAUGGAGCUGUUGGAGCAGGUCCAUGAAGAUAAGAGGACUGGAGCACCUCUCCUGUGAAGAAAAGCUGAGGGAGCUGGGGGUGUUCAGCAUGGAGAAGGCUCCAGGAAGACCACAUUACAGCCCUCCAGUAGUUGAGGGGAGCUAAUAUACAGGAGGGAGAGUGACUUUCUACACAGUCUGAUAAUGAUAGGAAAAAGGGGAACUGAAAGAGGGGAGACUUAGGUCAGAUAUUAGGAGGGAAUUCUUUAUUCAGAUGGUGGUGAUGCCCUGGCACAGCUGCCCAGAUCUGUGGGCACCCAUCCCUGGAGGGGCCAUGGGCAGCCUGAGCUGUGGGGAGCAGCCAGCCCACAGCAAGCAUUGGAACGCUGCAGGCUUUAAGGUCCCUUCAACCUAAGCCAGUCUGUGAUUCUAUGAUUAUAUGUAGGUCGCUCCAAAAGUAGUACAUCCAAUUUAUUUAUGUGGAAACCACAGCAGAUAUGAAAAGCACAGAAACACUAUUAGAUAGAGCAAAUUCUCAGCUACAAACCCCUUCCCCCCCCCCCCCCCCCCCCUUUUGUUUUUUUUUCAGCAUAGUCACCAUCAUUAGCUAGGCAUUUUGCCAGUGAUGAACAAGAGCCUGCAUGCCAUGUUUGCAAAAUUCUACAUGGCUGUCUGGGAUGUGGCUUGUCUUCGCCAUUGCUGUAACCACUGCUGAAAUGCACCAUCCACCUCACUGUGCUCAAAUCCACUGUUUGGUCUCUAUAAACAUUCAGCAAAUGUCAACAAAAGUCAGUGGGUGUCAUUUUUUCUGCAUGGAGGGAUUCAGUUCCUCACCUUUGCUCCAUAUGCACUUCCACAUCAGAAGCCAUUCUGUC
ensembl:lncRNA